CACGUAGGGCGCGAGCGUUGUCCGGAAUUAUUGGGCGUAAAGAGCUCGUAGGCGGUCUGUCACGUCGGCUGUGAAAGCCCGGGGCUCAACCCCGGGCCUGCAGUCGAUACGGGCAGGCUAGAGUGCGGUAGGGGAGACUGGAAUUCCUGGUGUAGCGGUGAAAUGCGCAGAUAUCAGGAGGAACACCGGUGGCGAAGGCGGGUCUCUGGGCCGUAACUGACGCUGAGGAGCGAAAGCGUGGGGAGCGAACAGG
rnacentral:rRNA from 1 species